AUUGAACGCUGGCGGCAGGCCUAACACAUGCAAGUCGAGCGGAUGAAGGGAGCUUGCUCCUGGAUUCAGCGGCGGACGGGUGAGUAAUGCCUAGGAAUCUGCCUGGUAGUGGGGGAUAACGUCCGGAAACGGGCGCUAAUACCGCAUACGUCCUGAGGGAGAAAGUGGGGGAUCUUCGGACCUCACGCUAUCAGAUGAGCCUAGGUCGGAUUAGCUAGUUGGUGGGGUAAAGGCCUACCAAGGCGACGAUCCGUAACUGGUCUGAGAGGAUGAUCAGUCACACUGGAACUGAGACACGGUCCAGACUCCUACGGGAGGCAGCAGUGGGGAAUAUUGGACAAUGGGCGAAAGCCUGAUCCAGCCAGGCCGCGUGUGUGAAGAAGGUCUUCGGAUUGUAAAGCACUUUAAGGUGGGAGGAAGGGCAGUAAGUUAAUACCUUGCUGUUUGGACGUUACCAACAGAAUAAGCACCGGCUAACUUCGG
rnacentral:rRNA from 1 species